rnacentral:tRNA from 1 species
CGGAUGUAGCCAAGGGACAAGGCAGUGGAUUGUGAAUCC